rnacentral:rRNA from 1 species
AUUGAACGCUGGCGGCAGGCCUAACACAUGCAAGUCGAGCGGAGCGGCGGACGGGCGAGUAAUGCCUAUGUAUCUGUCUGCCAGUGGGGGAUAACUAACUGAAACGGGCGCUAACACCUCACAUUAUCAGUUGAGUCUAGCCGGGAUUAGCUAGUUGGUGGGGUAAGGGCUUACCAAGGCGACGAUCCGUAGCUGGUCUGAGAGGAUGAUCAGUCACACUGGGACUGAGACACGGUCCAGACUCCUACGGGAGGCAGCAGUGGGGAAUAUUGGACAAUGGGCGAAAGCCUGAUCCAGCCAUGCCGCGUGUAUGAAGAAGGUCUUCGGAUUGUAAAGCACUUUAAGUUGGGAGGCGUUACCGACAGAAUAAGCACCGGCUAACUUCGUGCCAGCAGCCGCGGUAAUAC